AGCGAACGCUGGCGGCAGGCCUAACACAUGCCAGUCGAACGAACCUUUCGGGGUUAGUGGCGGACGGGUGAGUAACACGUGGGAACGUGCCUUUAGGUUCGGAAUAACUCAGGGAAACUUGUGCUAAUACCGAAUGUGCCCUUCGUGGGAAAGAUUUAUCGCCUUUAGAGCGGCCCGCGUCUGAUUAGCUAGUUGGUUGAGGUAAUUGCUCACCAAGGCGACGAUCAGUAGCUGGUCUGAGAGGAUGAUCAGCCACAUUGGGACUGAGACACGGCCCAAACUCCUACGGGAGGCAGCAGUAGGGAAUCUUGCGCAAUGGGCGAAAGCCUGACGCAGCCAUGCCGCGUGAAUGAUGAAGGUCUUAGGAUUGUAAAAUUCUUUCACCGGGGACGAUAAUGACGGUACCAGGAGAAGAAGCCCCGGCUAACUUCGUG
rnacentral:rRNA from 1 species